rnacentral:rRNA from 1 species
AGAUUGAACUGAAGAGUUUGAUCCUGGCUCAGAUUGAACGCUGGCGGCAUGCCUUACACAUGCAAGUCGAACGGCAGCGGACCUUCGGGUGCCGGCGAGUGGCGAACGGGUGAGUAAAGUAUCGGAACGUACCUUUCAGUGGGGGAUAACGUAGCGAAAGUUACGCUAAUACCGCAUAUUCUGUGAGCAGGAAAGCAGGGGAUCGCAAGACCUUGCGCUGAUUGAGCGGCCGAUAUCAGAUUAGCUAGUUGGUGGGGUAAAGGCUCACCAAGGCGACGAUCUGUAGCGGGUCUGAGAGGAUGAUCCGCCACACUGGAACUGAGACACGGUCCAGACUCCUACGGGAGGCAGCAGUGGGGAAUUUUGGACAAUGGGCGCAAGCCUGAUCCAGCCAUGCCGCGUGAGUGAAGAAGGCCUUCGGGUUGUAAAGCUCUUUCGGCCGGGAAGAAAUCGUAUGGGUUAAUACCCUGUGCGGAUGACGGUACCGGCAUAAGAAGCACCGGCUAACUACGUGCCAGCAGCCGCGGUAAUACGUAGGGUGCGAGCGUUAAUCGGAAUUACUGGGCGUAAAGCGUGCGCAGGCGGUUUUGUAAGACAGGCGUGAAAUCCCCGGGCUCAACCUGGGAACUGCGCUUGUGACUGCAAGGCUAGAGUACGGCAGAGGGGGGUGGAAUUCCACGUGUAGCAGUGAAAUGCGUAGAGAUGUGGAGGAACACCAAUGGCGAAGGCAGCCCCCUGGGUCGAUACUGACGCUCAUGCACGAAAGCGUGGGUAGCAAACAGGAUUAGAUACCCUGGUAGUCCACGCCCUAAACGAUGUCAACUAGGUGUUGGGUGGGUAAAACCAUUUAGUACCGUAGCUAACGCGUGAAGUUGACCGCCUGGGGAGUACGGCCGCAAGGUUAAAACUCAAAGGAAUUGACGGGGACCCGCACAAGCGGUGGAUGAUGUGGAUUAAUUCGAUGCAACGCGAAAAACCUUACCUACCCUUGACAUGUUCAGAAUCCUGAAGAGAUUUGGGAGUGCCCGAAAGGGAGCUGGAACACAGGUGCUGCAUGGCUGUCGUCAGCUCGUGUCGUGAGAUGUUGGGUUAAGUCC